rnacentral:rRNA from 1 species
CGAAAUAGUUUGAGCUAAAUAUGUUGUUGUUUUGGUAACUAGUAUUUGGUGUCGCAUAACCUGUUUGGAAAACAUGUUUAGGGGUGAUAGGCCUUUCAAAAACUAUGAUAUCUUGAACCCUAUUAAAAGUAUAUAGUACAUAUAGUACAUUUAUUGAGUGAUUAGGCUCAAUAAUAUUAUUAAUUUAUGUACUUAGUGACAUCAUGGUAUAGUAACUAAAUGUAGGUAUUUGCUAAUAUAUUUUUAUUAUAGCUUAUAAGGAGUAAUUGGGUGAAGUAAAGCUUAGACUAUCUUUUAAUUAUGUUAAUAUUAGUAUAUAUUUAAUAUAUUUAUAUAAUGAACUCGGCAAUGGUGCUUCUCAACUGUUUAUCAAAAACAUAACUGCGUGCAUAAAUACGUAGCGGUUUCUGCUCAAUGAUUAUUAAAUAGCCGCAGUA